AUAAAAAUGAACAAUACAAUAAAAAUGAAUAAAAUAAAUAAAAAAAUAAGAAUACAAUAAAAUUUUUAAAAUCAAUAAAAUUUGAAAAUACAAUAAAAAUGACUAAAAUAAAUAAAAUUACCAAUGUAAUAAAAAUGAAUAAAAUCAAGAAAAUUAACAAUACAGAAAAAUUAUUAAAGUCAAUAAAAAUUGACAAUACAAAAAAUGAUUGAAAAAUAAAAAUUGACAAAACAAUAAAAAUGAAUGAAAUCAUGAAAAUUAACAAUACAAUAAAAAUUAGUCAAAUAAUAAAAAUUAACAAUACAAUAAAAAUUAUUAAAAUCAAUUAAAAUUGACAAUACAAUAAAAAUGAAUAAAAUCAAUAAAAUUCAACAAUACAAUAAAUAAUUAAUGAAGAAAUGAAAAUUACCAAUGCAAUAAAAUUAUUAAUAUCAAUUAAAAAAAAAUAUACAAUAAAAAUUGGGAAAGUCAAUCACAAUUGAAUAUACAAUAAAAAUGGCUAAAAUAAAUGAAAUUACCAAUACAUUAAAAAUGAAUAAAAUCAGUAAAAAUUAACAAUACAAUAAAAAAUUUAAAUUAAUAAAAAUUGAUGAUACAAUAAAAUCAAUAAAAUCAAUAAAAAUUAACAAUACAAUAAAAAUUUAAAUCUGUAAAAACUGACAAUGCAAUAAAAAAUAAUGAAGUAAUGAAAAUUAACAAUACAAUAAAAAUGAAUAAAAUAAAAAUUAAUGAAAUAAUGAAAAUUAACAAUACAAUAGAAAUUAAUAAAGGAGUGUUGGAACCCUUGCGAACUCAUUGAUAGAGGAAAUUAUAUCUCAAACCACUGCAUUCUUGCUGAUUUGGAAAGUAUAAAGUAUUAUGUACAAAUACGAAAAUUUUUGUCCUUCAAAGGCUUUCAACCCCUACAAUUAAAAGGAAUCAAAUAAAUAAAAUUAACAAUACAAUAAAAAGAAAUAAGAUAAAUAUAAAUUAACAGUACAAUAAAAAUGAAUAAAAUAAAGAAAAAUUAACAAUACCAUAAAAAGAAAUAAAAAUAAAAAUUAACAAUGCAAUAAAAAAAGAAAUAAAAUAAAUAGAAAUUAAUGAUACAAUAAAAAUUAACUCAAUAAUGUUUUUCCUCAACAUCUCUAUGACUUAAACACAUUGUGGCCAGAACGUUCCACCUUUGUUAAUAUAUCAUAUUAGAUGAACAUUUUAUAAAAAUCACCAGAGGCCUCACUCACAAUUGGAAAACACUCUUUAAAUGUUGUUUUCAGAACGUUCCUACUUUGUAAUCAUAGAACAUAAUCUGUGUUCCUGACUACAACUUUUGAAUGUUGACGCUAAAAGAAUCAUAUUAACUUUACAGGAACAUUACUUCAAAUGAAAAUAUUUGUAAAAUGUAGUUUAAACAUUAGACUAAAACAUGAUAAGAACCUGCAGCUAAUGUUAGCGAGAGUGGUGGGAACGUUCUCCUGUGGAGCUUCAGAACCUCACCCUCCGCUAUGUUUCAUGUUUCAGAAUGGGAAGCGCCUUUAUAGAAGUGGCAGGAAGUGGAUUCAGGCUGAUCCUGGUUCUGGAGAGACCGGUUCCCUCCGGAGGGCAGCGGAGGUUUGCUGGAGGAGGCGGAGGCCAAGCCUCCAUCCAGCCGUCCGUGGAAAGGGGAUCUCUCUUUGAAUUGCCUUUCCCGAGGUUUCUUCCCAUCUUCCAUGGGGAGUUUUUUCUCGUCUUCAUAGAGAGCUUGGGCUGGAUCAAGACCUCCUCAAAAAUAAAACUUCAUUAUAAUAAAUAACACAUCAUUAUAGAUUAUUUCCAGAUUACAUUUAGAGUUACAUCCUGGUUAAUAAGUUGUUUACACAAAACCAAGUUGAGCUGCACAUUUUAGAGGACAUUGUACGUUUAUUAUAUAAUGUAUUAAAGAGCUACUUUACAGAUUCAGAUUAAUAAUUCAAAAUAUGACCAAAAAAUCAGUUCUGGUGUAUGAUUAGAUGUUUUUUUUCCCCUAGUGGAAAUUCACAAGAUGUAAAAUAAAUAUAAAUUGAAGCCAGCCUCGGUUUUAGCAGCUGCAAAAUUAAAGUUAUCUACAUGCUAAUGCAUUUAAAAGGUGUAAUCCUGUUAUAGAAAAUACACUUUUACAAGUUAAUUAAAUUAGUUAAAUGCAUGGUUGCAAGAUUACAAGCCCGAUGUACUGAUUUAGCUAAACCUUUUAAGUUACAUUUAUUUAUGUUUAUAAUGUUUUGACAUAAUAAUGUUUCACCAACUGAAUAUUGUGAAUAAUUUAAAAUCAGAUUUUUUGCUUUUGUUGAUUUAAUUUUUGUGUUAGUAAUAUUUGAGGAGAAUAAGAGGGUUAAUGGUUUUAUAGUUUCAUUAGUUUUAACCUUAGUGUCGUCCUGCGGGUCAAAUUGACCCGUUUUAAAAUUUGAAAAUGGAAAAAAAAUAUAUAUAUUUUCACAGUGAAAUUUUUGAUGUCUACAUUUUCAACAUUUUUUGGAAAUUUUUGAACAUUUUUUGGUGGAAUAAAAGAAAUGUUUAAAAAAAGUUUCCUAAGAACAUUCAUUCUUAAAGAAAAUAUUAGAAGUUUUACUGAUAUAUAUGUGGUCACAUUAGAUUUUUUUAGGAUUUUUUUGGAAGAUUUUUACUCAUUUUUUGAAAAUACAAGAAUUUCUUUUUUUUUUUAAACAAAACUUUUAAGGGAAACUUUUAAGGAAUUAUUGGAAUUUUCUUCCUGAAGGUUUUGGACAUUUUCAGAAAUUUGGGGAAGUUUUUCUGAGUUUUUGGAUUUUUUUUCAGACAAGAAAAACAAUGUUUUUUGGUGCCUGUAAAGGAGGACAACAGGAGGGUUGAUACUGAGAGUUUUCAGCUUUAAUGAUGCUAUUAAAGCUGCAGGGAUCUGAACUGGUCCCAGUUUAAACUAGAGGUGUAUUAAUGCUGGGUUCCUCUUAGAGCCGCUGCUGUUGUUCUACUGGUUCUCUGUCAGAAUUUAGAAGAACCUUCAUGGACCUCAUUCAUCAGUUCUUCCACCUGCAGUCCAAAUGUCUGCUGGGAAAAAGGUUCAACAGUGAAACUACAUUUUCUUCAUAGUUAAUCUGACUUUUCUUCUGGUCGGCUUCAUAUCUGGUCUCUGCAGGAAAAUCUGUCCUCUGAAGGGGAACCUGACAGAAAAAAAUCUGAGAACCACUGAUCUAUCAGGAGGAAGUGAGAUCAGGAGUCAAAGAGCUCAUUUACAUUUGUGUGUUUAACGUUUAUUUUUAUUUAAUGUUAUUGUAUAAAAUAAAUAUAAAUAUAUAUCUGC